rnacentral:rRNA from 1 species
GAUUAGAAUUACCCGGCGUAGUCCAGGCUGUUAACUCUGCCCGUUUGGUGUAGCAUCUCCUACGAGGAGGUGCUGUGCCGUAGCGUAGGUGUUAAACGGGCCGCCUGGGGAGUACGUCCGCAAGGAUGAAACUUAAGGGAAUUGGCGGGGAAGCACCACAAGCGGUGGAGGCUGCGGUUUAAUUGGAUUCAACGCCAGGAACGUUACCAGCGGCUGACAGCAUGAUGAGGGUCACCCUGAAGGGGUUACCUGAAGCGCUGAGAGGAGUUGCAUGGCCAUCGUCAGCUCGUACUGUGAAGCGUCCGGUUAAGUCCGGUAACGAGCAAGACCCGCGCUCCUAGUUGCUAUCGCGCCCUCCGGGGCACGAGCACUCUAGGAGUACCGCCCUCGAUAAGAGGGAGGAAGGUGCGGGCGACGGUAGGUCAGUAUGGCCCGAAUGCGUUGGGCUACACGCGGCCUACAAUGGCCGGGACAAUAGGUUGAGACUCCGAAAGGAGAAGCCAAUCCAUUAACCCGGCCUUAGUACGGAUCGAGGGCCUANACCCGCCCU